ensembl:snoRNA
GGCCGCUGAUGAUUCACAUUCACCUUUCUGACACCUCGUCUGAGGGCGGCGGGCGGCCGCGGCCCCUGCUGAGCAGCCACGGCUGAGGCCC